rnacentral:rRNA from 1 species
GAUGAACGCUAGCGGCAGGCUUAAUACAUGCAAGUCGAGGGGCAGCAUGGCUGUAGCAAUACAGAUGAUGGCGACCGGCAAACGGGUGCGGCACACGUACGCAACUUACCUAUAACUGAUGAAUAGCCCUCAGAAAGGAGGAUUAAUACAUCGUAAUACUUAUUGGUGGCAUCACCGAAACGUUAUAGCUCCGGCGGUUAUGGCUGGGCGGGCGGCUGAUUGGGUAGUUGGUUGAGGUGACGGCUCACCAAGCCUGCGAUCAGUAACUGGUGUGAGAGCACGACCAGUCACACGGGCACUGGGACACGGCCCAGACUCCAACGGGAGGCAGCAGUGGGGAAUAUUGGACAAUGGGCGGAAGCCUGAUCCAGCCAUGCCGCGUGUGUGAAGAAGGCCUUUUGGUUGUAAAGCACUUUAAGCGAGGAGGAGGCUACCUGGAUUAAUACUCUAGGAUAGUGGACGUUACUCGCAGAAUAAGCACCGGCUAACUCUGUGCCAGCAGCCGCUGUAACAC